CCUACGGGAGGCAGCAGUGAGGAAUAUUGGUCAAUGGCCGAGAGGCUGACCCAGCAACGCCGCGUGAAGGAAGAAGGCUUUCGGGUUGUAAACUUCUUUUAAGAGGGAAGAGCAGAAGACGGUACCUCUUGAAUAAGCCACGGCUAACUACGUGCCAGCAGCCGCGGUAAUACGUAGGUGGCAAGCGUUGUCCGGAUUUACUGGGUGUAAAGGGCGUGUAGCCGGGCUGACAAGUCAGAUGUGAAAUCCGGGGGCUCAACCCCCGAACUGCAUUUGAAACUGUUGGUCUUGAGUAUCGGAGAGGCAGGCGGAAUUCCUAGUGUAGCGGUGAAAUGCGUAGAUAUUAGGAGGAACACCAGUGGCGAAGGCGGCCUGCUGGACGACAACUGACGGUGAGGCGCGAAAGCGUGGGGAGCAAACAGGAUUAGAUACCCCAGUAGUC
rnacentral:rRNA from 1 species